CGAAUGGGGGAACCCGGCUAGUUGAAGACUAGUCAUCAUUUGAAGCUAACCUGGUGAACUGAAACAUCUAAGUAACCAGAGGAAAAUAAAACAAAAGUGAUUCCCCUAGUAGCGGCGAGCGAAAAGGGAAUAGCCCAAACCAUAAAUGUUUCGGCAUAUGUGGGGUUGUAGGACUGCAAUGUGGACUGUUAAUUUAUAGUGGAAUAUUCUGGAAAGUUUAAUCAUAGAAGGUGAAAGUCCUGUACACGAAAUAGUUUAACUACCUAGCAGUAUCCUGAGUAGGGCGGGACAGCGAAGAAAUCCUGUCUGAAUCUCCC
rnacentral:rRNA from 1 species